GUAGUCAGCACGAGCGCACCCUCAUCCUUAGUUGCCAUCAUUUAGUUGGGCACUUUAAGGAAACUGCCGGUGAUAAGCCGGAAGAAGGUGGGGAUGACGUCAAGUCCUCAUGGCCCUUACAAGCUGGGCUACACACGUGCUACAAUGGCGAUGACAGUGGGCAGCUAACUCGCGAGAGUACGCUAAUCUCUAAAAGUCGUCUCAGUUCGGAUUGUUCUCUGCAACUCGAGAGCAUGAAGGCGGAAUCGCUAGUAAUCGCGGAUCAGCAUGCCGCGGUGAAUACGUUCCCAGGCCUU
rnacentral:rRNA from 1 species